CCUACGGGUGGCAGCAGUGGGGAAUAUUGGACAAUGGGGGGAACCCUGAUCCAGCCAUGCCGCGUGUGUGAAGAAGGCCCUCGGGUUGUAAAGCACUUUCAGUGAGGAAGAACGCCUGGUGGUUAAUACCCAUCAGGAAAGACAUCACUCACAGAAGAAGCACCGGCUAACUCCGUGCCAGCAGCCGCGGUAAUACGGAGGGUGCGAGCGUUAAUCGGAAUUACUGGGCGUAAAGCGCGCGUAGGUGGCUUGAUAAGCCGGUUGUGAAAGCCCCGGGCUCAACCUGGGAACGGCAUCCGGAACUGUCAAGCUAGAGUGCAGGAGAGGAAGGUAGAAUUCCCGGUGUAGCGGUGAAAUGCGUAGAGAUCGGGAGGAAUACCAGUGGCGAAGGCGGCCUUCUGGACUGACACUGACACUGAGGUGCGAAAGCGUGGGUAGCAAACAGGAUUAAUACCCUUGUAGUC
rnacentral:rRNA from 1 species